CCGAGCGCAGGCGCACAUCGAUUUUCCAGUGCUUUUCACUGAACACAACUCUGUGUGUUCCAAUCAUUUUUCGCGGGCCUGUGUCUGUGUGUGUGAGUUGCUAGUUUCCGAAAUGACGUUGGAAAAUUCAAUGUCGCAUCAAUUCAUAUCCCAGUGAAAAUUUCAACAAGACACAUCGCAGAGCUUUCAAGUCCCUCAACCAGCCUACUACCUCAGAUCCUACCUUCUACUCUCCCUAGCUAGAACCUCCUCCAAAACCCUAUCCCAAACAGUAUUUUCUUUUUUUUUUUGCUUUUUUUUCAUUUUGUUUUUACAAUUUUUUUAUCCCAGUUGUGUAAGUUUUUCAAAAAAAACCGUUGACGCAAUAUAUACAAAAAAUUGGUUGGGAAGCCAAAUUUUAAGUGUUUGAUAAAAGUAACUAGAAAUUUUUAUUAGUGUUUCAAAAUAUUAUGCAAUUUCUCCAAGUGACAUUGAACACAGCUGUACCAGAAGCCGAGCUAGAGAUCAUCAGUAUCUGAGAUUAUGUACAUUAUAUACAUGAGAAUGAAGACACCCAGCAUCGAUUUGAAUGCAUUCUCCGAGCAACUUCCAAUCCAUGUCUUUCGAGGCACGUCCCAUGGAACUUGUUCAACUUGAACUUGAAAAUUCUCGGGUGAGUCAAUAUGUGUGUACCAAGUCAAUCGAUACAGAAACUCUCUGUUUCCUCUCACAAAUACUUGCGCAGGUGAAGCUAAAUGUGAGAACAAGAAAAAAAAACUAAAAAACAGUGAAAUCAUGUGUUGAGUGAGGAGAACCACAUUCUACCAUGCAGUAAUUUUGCCAACUCAGUCGAUGGCGAAGCACGAUUUUUCUCACAUUUCCCCGAAACAAGUCUCCCAAAAACAACUAAAAGCUCUCCCUUUUGCUUCACUACUAUCAACCCCUUGGUCCCCCGUCUAAAUACUCCGUGUUGGUGCAAUUGCAUGAAAUGUGUUGUGAAAAUGGCUCUAUAGUUUUCGCUCUAUCGACGAUUAUGUACUUGAAUUUUGCAAUGUGAAACCCCUCGCGAAGUGUCUCGGCUAAAUCACUGAAAGCUCCCAUCCUAGACACAUUCAAGCAGAUUUUCCACCAAUAUUUUGUUAUGUACAUUAUUAACGUUCAACAUCCAGCCAAUUUUACGAUUUCUGAUGGCUUUCAUCCCAACACAGUGCACCCUUGUUAAUUCCUCCAGACCCCAAUCCCCCACCAAAAUGUUCAACGUGAUGUCCCUACCCAAUUAUUUGCUUCUCAGUUGCCGGGAUACCCUCUGUGAUCACUCUGCAAUUGAGUAGUGAACACAGCUGGUGGUAUCUCAGUGACUGGGUGGGCGAUAAGCGGCUCUAAUGAAUCAAUAAUUGACGGGUGGGUGGGUGUAAAAGCUCCCUAACCCACCCAAAAGCCCCGCUGGGGUAUGAUAUUGUAACAAAUUUGUCCUAAAUUCUCAUGAAAUAUUCAUCGAUAUUUCCCAUAUAGAUAGCUUAAGAACUCAAUGUAGUUGUGGUUCAAAUAGGGAUGUUUCAGGUACUAGGGGCCAUUUUAAUCUCUCUCCACGAGAGAAGGGUUCCUAAACCCACCAAAAUGAUAUAGAGAAGUGAAUUUAUGUUAUGGUGUGGCAUUUGUCACGCAUGGCAAGAAAUUCAAUUUAUAUUUAUCCCAUUCUAUUUCACAUACAUUAUUGAUUGGCCAAUCGGCAGAGAUAUUAUGUAUAUAAUGUUUAUGAGCUUAUAUAUGAUUGGGAGUAUAAAAAGCUUCCUGAGAAAUAAAAUGUUUUUAUUUCAAUUGACAAAAAUAUUAGAAUUUUUUUUAAUGUGAAAAUACGUUUGAAAAAUAUAACCAGUAUAACAGCCUUAUUUGCAAAGUGAUUUAAAAUAGGGAAAAUUAUUUUAAAAUCCGGUUAGUGAUAGUGCGAUUUUAAUAAACUCUUCAAUAAUGUAGGGACCAAUUUAUUGACUCCAAAAAUCCAGUUAAUGCAAAUCUUAACUUCUGAAAAUGAUUUUUUUUCAAGUUACAGCUGUUAGAAGUAACUAAUCACAGUUGUGUUUUUUAAAUGGAAAAUUUUGAGUUCAGUGUUUUGAUUAUAUACUAUUAUUUUCAAAAGAAAAUGAUAACUCAAACCAAAUCCAAGCUAUAUAUGUACAUAUCUAUACCCUUAUGGCUCCGGCACACCUUUUAGAUCAGGAAAAUUUCAUAAAGUCGAAAUUCAAAUCCCUUUCUUUCUCAUAUGCUUUGCAGAUGUCUAUCUCAUUCUCUCAUACUCUUCUUCUUCUUUUGAACAUCACUCCAAAUUCAAUUUAGCUCAAUCGAAUUUGGUAUGCAAAAGAAUGAGAUAGUCAUAUACAAAACAUGUGAGAAAGAAAGGGAUUCCACUUUCCACUUGAUGAAAUUUUCCUGAUCUAAAAGAUGUUCCUGAGCCAUUCUAAACUUACCGACCAUUUUUGGUUGUUUUUUGGUUAAUUCGGUCAAAUGACAAACCGCAGUAGGGCAAAAUACUCAACAAAUUUGUCUUAGAAAAGAGAAAAAAAUAAAAUUUAAACUCUAUAAAGUUUGAUAGUGACAUUGUACCGUUUAAAUAUGUGUUAAUUUUAAACCGGUCAAUUUGGUAGGUUUAGUGUUAAUCAUCUCUUCACGGACUCUUCAAUGUUAAUUAGGAUUAUUCAGAUUUGGUUUUCGCUUACUAUGUGGCAGCACAAACAAAAAUGGCGCUAUUUCAAAGAAAUUGUGAAAUUAAAGGAGUUAGCUAAGAUCAUAAGGAUAUCUUAUGACCCCUAUGACCAUCAACAUCCUACAUGAUAUUUUGGGUAUGAAAAAGCUCUUAGCAUAAUAGAUGACGCGUUUGCUCACGUUUGACCAAAACCGAAAAACCAAAAAAGAAGUAACAUUGCACGAAAUUAGGUUUUGAACUGGUCCUUCAGCCAUCAUAUUCGCAAGACCAUGGCUUAGGAGAGUUGUACCCGAUGGAUGGCUUACCAGCUAAUAGUUAACCUCAAAUAACGACUUAAUUUCUGAAAUUUUGGCCACUUUUAGAGCAUUUUUAACAGACUUCUUUCGGAUGGGAUAAAAAAUGGAUGAUCGUUGAAAACGCUUUAUCGAUUUUAUCAGCAUUCUCUUGAUAAAUGAAAUCGAAUUUGAACAAAAAUAUCCUACUGACUUAUUUAAUAACCUGUUAAGUCAGAAGAUCCAGUCUGAAACUAAGAUCAAAAUAGUAAAAUUUUUAGAAUUGUUUUUCUUUAUUUCAAGAAGCUUUCGAUAUUAAUUUAAAAAUUGUUAUUUUGAGAAAUAGGGUAAAGUGGAACAACUUGGACAGAGCUUUUUGUCUUGAUAAAUUUAGUACUUCAUUUUUAAUUGUAUAUUUUUAAUGCUUUAGUUUAAUAAUUUGGUUCCUUGUGCUUAAAAACAAAUUUUGUACUGUAUUUAUCAAGAAAAUAGCCAUGUCCAACUUGUAACACUAAUUCCAAAUAAUAUCACUUUACCCUAUUAGUUUUUUUUUGUAAGGAAACGCACUUUUGAUUUCAUGAGAACAGUAAUAAACUUUUUUUUUACCUGAUCUUUUAUAUUAAUUUUAACGUGAGCAGUAAUACCAAUAAAAUUAUUGAAAUUGUCAAUCAAUCAAUUAACGUUUUAUAAUGUUAUAAAAAAUUCAUUAUCACCGAAAUUAUUUGGUCAGUUGGCAACCAAAACUUGUGCAGAAAAUAUUAUUUUAGUAAUUUUUAUCAUUUGCUGAGAAUAUUAUUUUAGUAUCUCUAUUAACUUUUAAUUAUUUCUCACAUAUCAGUUUUUUUUAUGUAUUGUUUUGUUAAUCAAUAUCGUCUCUGUCUGUUAAAUUGAACAUCAACAUCAUGCCCAACUUGAGUAAUACAACACAAAGAGUGAUCGCCUCUUAGGAAACACCAAUUAAAAUGUUAAAAAAUCAACAAAAACUUCAAAUUAGAAAUUGUAGUUAUAUUUAAAAAAAAUGUAUAAUAUAACCCUUUAAGUUUGAAACCUUAAUCUUAAGUUUGAGAAAGCGGAUCUAAGUAUUCGAACAUAAGUUACAAUUUAAGAUUCAAAAAUUGUCCAAGAUUUUAAAACUUAAACUUUCAAAUGUAAACAUUUAUAAGAAAAAUAAAAAAAAAUCUUAUAGUCAAAAAAUUCCAAAAAAUAAUGAUUUGAGAUUAGCAAGAAAUAUUUUAAUAUUCUUAUAAAAUAUUUAAACCCUAGCUCGUUCUCUAGUUGGCUAAAGGUUAAAUGUCAUUUUAGGCUUCAAUAAAUUAGAAAUCACAGAGAAUAAAAUAUUUAACGAAAUUUAUUAUUAAAAUUAAACUUGGAUGCUACAGAAAUUUAGAAUUUAAAAUAAAUUUUAAAAGCCUACACAGUAAAAAUUUUUGGCUGCUUUACCAUGAUUUUCAUUGUAAAUUUUACAUUAAACAUGUAAUCGUGUGUACUAAUACACAUUUCUGUAAUUUGUACACAUUUUGUCUGAAAACUGUUUAAUUUUUACACCUUUCAUUUGAAAACUGUGUAAUUUUACACGAAAUAUGUAAGAAAAUAUACAAAACUGUGUAAUCAUUCCCAGUUGAUUACACGGUUUACAAUAACAUAAAAUUUAAAUUACACAUUUUCAGAUUACACGUUUUGUUGAAAUACAUAAUUUAUGUAACUUUACAAUAAUAAUCGUGGUAAAAAAGCAAACCAACGAUUAUCCUUGUAAUUUUUUUUACUGUGUAGGGAUUUGAGUAAGCUCAGUGACCAUAGCACUGGCUUCGUAAACUAGAAGCCAUCGGUUCGAUCCCUGGUCGAGCUUUGUCCAAUAGAAAAGUUUUGAAACAAAUAAUUUAAAGCAAUAAAAUUCAGGGCAAAAACUAGAAGAAAGUGUAAAGAUUAACAGACCAAGAGAAACGAUAAAUCAAAGAGUAUAAUUAAAGAAAAAUAAAUAAUAACAAAUUUACAUAAUUCCCUGCAUACAAACUGGGUCUUAUUAUAUACUAAACUAUGCUUAAGAAUUUAUGCUACAGAUUUCAAGUAAGUUUAUAGCUAUUUGAUCACUUAACAUUGCAUUCUUAUUUCCGUUUUAAUUAUAUUUAGCAUUAAGCAAAGUCAAAACUGACAGAUAUUUUUAAAUUGGUCGUCAGUUGAUUAACAAUUGAUGUAGAAUUCAAAUCACAAAAUUUAUUUAACUCAUUUUUGUAUUUAUAUCAAAAUCCUGACAUGCUUUUAACUAACAAUCGCAAAUUUUUCAUGUGCUGUCACCAAGUUAAUUGCCUAUAGAACUAACGAAACAUUUCAAAUGAACUGUUUUCUGUGAUAAAUUACGGAUUGAAAUAAAAUUACCAAAGACAUUUUUAGGUAAUAGAUAUACCUCUUUAGAAUUUUCUCUCAUGUGAAACAUUUUAGCAAGUUCUGAAUUUACCAUGUCUAUUGUAUUUUAAGUCUUUAAAGUGACUUCCGCAACGCUUGUCGUGUCAAUUUUGCAAUGGGGAUUCCCUGUUUUGACAAGAAAAAAAAAGAUCUUCAAGAUUCUCAAGAAAGACUAUAAACUGAGGUCAAAAUGAGGAGAGAAGUGAAUGAAAAGAUAUGCUGAAACAUUAGAAAAGCUCAAUGUUUAGUUCAUUUGUGUUCGAUUGCGCAUCAAAUGCACUAUUCUUACGCAACCGUACUUCAUCGAGGCACUUGGCUCUGUGUCAGCACAGGCAGAUAUUAGUGUCCACCUUGUGCUGCUAUUUAUCACAUGAAUGUGCAAUUAUUAAUUAUAAUAUGAGCUUUAAUGAUAUAUUAUCGCUACUAAAAGAUCAAACGCCCAUUUUUAUACACUUUAGCCUCCCUUUCUUAAAUGCCAAAGAAGAAUCUCUCGAGAAAAUUGGCAUUUUGCACAUAUUGCAAUAUAUUGUCCUCCCCCUAUCAUUUCAAGUCCUAUUUAAAAAAAAAUAGUAUCUGUGAAUAAUUAAUAAAGUAUUCUGAAUGGCUAUUUUUUUCUUACACCACAAACUAACGUCAUGAAAUAAUUAGUUUAAGCACCAUUGUCAUUCAAUAAAUUAUAGCAAUUUUACACGGUUGUGUCGAAACACUGAGAAUAUUUUUUUUAAACCUCUUUCUGUCUUACUCUUAGUCCGUCUAUUUAUGUGGUAGAAGAGGGUAGAUCUAAUACUUCAAACUUAGAAUAACAGAGUGGAGCAAUUAAACUAUAUUUUUUUCAUUAAAAUUAAUGAAAAGAAAAAUUGGAUCAGACAAUACAAUAUUAAUUGCAGGCUAAAAGUUCUAAUAAAUUUUAUUAAGGUAAGUGUACCAAAUUCUGGCCAGUUUGCAAUUCCGGCAACCUUUUUUAUGCCUGGAAUUUCCAUGAAUUUUUAGUUUUUGCAUACUCUAGAGAUUAUACAAUAUAAUAAAAUAACAAAAAAAUUAGCUUCGAUAAACUAGAAGAUGUGUAAAUGACAUUGGAAAAAUUCCCAAAGGGGAAAAAACUAUGAGAAUGAAGGUGACCGAAAUAGGCCACAAAAGCUAUGUAUAAAUAUUUAUUAAUUUUCAAAUGUAUUAAGAAUUACUUAGGAGAAAAUAAAAAUGGUAAACUGACUAUAAGGUUCCAAGCAAAACUCCUUAAAAAAAAGUAACAAAAAAAUUAAUUUCUAUUAAAAAUAUUACAUUUCAAACUUGAGAUUUUGGCGCUUGCAUGCAACUAUACCGAAAUUCGGCACACUUACCGUAUAUCUUGUAAAAUUCAACUUGAAAAUAAAUUGCUAAUAUUUUUUUAAAAAAUUUACUUAAGAUAUUUUUAAGAUAUAUUCAACAAAAUACCAUAAAAUACUUAAGUCUUAUCGGGCUUUGGUGGUUGGCUAUAGUUUUGAAUGUUUCAAACGUGUUUAAUAUAUUGAACCGAAUAGCUUUAAUCAGUCUCUUAAAAAAAAUGAAAAAUGGUUGCAACAUAAAAAUAUAUUAUCUUAUUAUUAUUAUUUUUUAAAUAAUAAGGUAUGUGUCCAGCACCUUUCCUUUAAAGAAUCAUUCAAAAAUGAUUUGAAAAAACAUAUUUCCGUAUUCACAAAUUAUUUCUUAAUAACUCUGUUUUUAUUUUUUUAUUUUUCUUUAAACACUAACCAAAAAUAUUAAAAAUUCACAGAAGAAAGGAAAUUAAGAUUUUACAAAUUAUAAGAACCAAUUUUGUAAAAAAAAGGAAAUAUUGCAUUUUCCAAGUACUAUUCAUUCGAUUUAUAAAAGAAAGGAAAGUAAACACAUAGGUAAAUAUUUAAAAAUAAUAUUAAUGUUAUAAAGACUAUAAUUACUAUUUUCUUAAUUUAUAACAAUUAAUGUUUUUUUUUAAUCUUUUAAGUUUUUGAAGAUAUUGGCGUAGAAUGAUACCUCUGAAUUGUGGCACCUUUUAACAGCGCUUUUUUCUACAAAUUUUAAAUAGGACUGAACCUUAACCUAAUGUAAUGUAAUUUCUUAAUCGGUUUAUAGUACUUAAUUAUAUCACACCACUCCCCCCCUAUCACAGGACCUGUUUAGUACUAUUCCAUCUCAGAAGUAGUAGGUACUUGAAAUUUGUAAAGUCUUUAACCCGAUGUUAUAUAAAUUUUUUUAAAAGUUAUACAGAUCUUGUAAAAAAAAAAUCGAAUAGCUACAAAAUUGAUUUAGAGUACAAUGGCAUGGAUUUGAUCGUUUUUUUAAUAUGAAAUUAUUUAUUAUUAAAUUAAUUUUUAAAUUCAAUUACCAAGAAAUUCAUAUUGAGCCUUCUUAACAAGUUGAAAUUUUCUUGCAAAAUGUAGAGUUACAAAAUAAUCAAUUUUUUUUUCUUGGUGUCAUUAAUCUUAUAGUAUUAUUACGAAUGUGAUCUUCUAACUAAACUCCGCCCACAAAAUGAAUUUAGCCACGCCUCCUUCAUUUUAUUAAAUUUAUCUAUUUUCUAAAAAUAUUUUUUGCGCUAUUUGUCGAUAACUUAUACUGAGGAAAACAUAUUAAUAAUGUCACAUAAUUACACCAAAAACUAUUUUUUUAUUAAUUCUAAAUUGAGUAGAAAUAUUAAUUAUUUAAGAAAAUAUCCACUAUUUAUUUUUCUGCUAAAAGUGUCCCUUGCAGCAAUUUCACUUUCGAAAAACAAAUAAUAAAUCAAAUUUAACAAUAUUUCAUUUUCUACUGCAGCAUUAUUAAAUGCAAAUUACUAGGUGAUUCAUAAAUUUAAAUAGAAUGUUAUGCUAUAUUUUUUGCACUUUCAUUGCCACACUCUGUACAAACAAUUUAAAGAGAAAAAUCAAGUAGAAAAAAAGCUUUUCAAGAUGAAUUUGCAUAGAAACAAAGACGAAUGUUCAGAUUCUGGAUUGUUAUGUAAAAUAUAGUGAAAAAAAGACAGAUAGAAAUAAAUAAAUAGAAAAACUUGCGAGUCAGUUGAGACUUGUGAAUCCCACGUUACAGCUGACUCAUAUAUUCAAUCUCCAACAACUAAUUGUAAGGUGAUCUUAAAGUUGACAGUUUGUUCAAUGUAUACCCAAAAAAAAACAAUCACCUGAAAAUUAAAGAGAGUGUUUCCAAUUGACUGUGGUACAGUGUUGCAAUUGGGAAGAGAGAGAGAGGAUAAAUUUGGAUCAAAUUCAGUGUUUAAGUGACAAUUACAGAGGUAAAAAAACGAUUUUGUGUAAAAUUUAUAAUUUGGGUGCAAUAAAAUUGGCCACUGAUGUGUUCAAUUUGAAUUAUAGCGUUCAUAACGAUUAAAUCUCCCGACACAGUGUCUAUUUUCGUGGCACAUUCUCGGAUUUUUGGGGGCCUCGUGGGCUUUUUUGCACCCAACAGUUACCCGAAAGUUAAUCCUCAUGCAAAUAUUUGGGUUGACAUCUGCUGCAUCAGCACAUACAGUCACAUCCAAAUGAUUUCUCUGGCCCAAAAAUGCUUGGGGAAAGAUUUAAGUGUGGAUAUACAAAUGAGUUAGUAUGCCUCGAUGGCACAAUUUUGCAUGGGCCAAUUGCCCAAAAUGCACUUGCAUCGCCCCCCGUAGACUAAUUCCUCAAUCAACCACGAGGUUAUCAUUCGAAUUGACUCUCUUUUCAUCGUCUAUGUCGACACGGGGUCACUUUCAAAUAAGACUUCGUCAACUGUCAGAUUUUGCUAAUUUUAGUACACAAGAUACAAAAUCAAAGAAUUUGUUGUAUUUUGCAACUAUCUACAACAUUGAAUAAAAUUGAAUAUAAUUGAAAACAAUUUCCGUUGAAACUUUUAAUUUCUACACAUAUUUAACACAAAUAGAUUAAUUAUAAUUAAUUAAAUAAAUAGACUAAUUAUAAAAAUAUGAAAAAUAAUUUAUAGACGGUCUCUUUGUUCUUGAGACCAAAAUCUAAAUAAAAAUUGAGAACCUAAUUGAGGGACCUGAUCAAUAUCCCUAAAGCCAAACUCCCGAAGGCCAAAAUCCCAAACGCCAAAUUCCAAAAAGGUUAAAUUCCCAAAAGCCAAAAUCUCAAAAAGCCAAAAUCUCGAAAGCCAAAAUUCCGAAAGGCAAAAUCCUAAACGUCAAAUACUGAAAAGGUUGAAAUCUCGCAAUCAAAAAUCCUAAAAACCAAAAUCCAAAAAACCAAAAUCCCGAAUGCCAAAUUCCGAAAAGGCUAAAAUCCCGCAAACCAAAAUUCCAAAAAGCCAAAAUCUCGAAAGUCAAAAUUCUGAAAGGCAAAAUCCUGAUCGCCAAUAUUCUGAAUGCCAAAAUCCUGAAUGCCAAAAUCUCGAAAGCCAAAAUUCCGACAGGCAAAAUCCUGAACGCCAAAUACUGAAAAGGCUAAAAUCCCGAAAGACAAAAUCCCGAAAAUUAAAAUCUCAAAAGCCAAAAUCCGGAAUGCCAAAUUCCGAAAAGGCUAAAAUCCCGAAAACCAAAA